rnacentral:rRNA from 1 species
UGGGGAAUAUUGGACAAUGGGGGGAACCCUGAUCCAGCCAUGCCGCGUGUGUGAAGAAGGCCUUAUGGUUGUAAAGCACUUUAAGCGAGGAGGAGGGUACUGGUAUUAAUACUACCAGGUACUGGACGUUACUCGCAGAAUAAGCACCGGCUAACUCUGUGCCAGCAGCCGCGGUAAUACAGAGGGUGCGAGCGUUAAUCGGAUUUACUGGGCGUAAAGCGUGCGUAGGUGGUUCGUUAAGUUGAAUGUGAAAGCCCCGGGCUCAACCGGGGAACUGCAUCCAAAACUGGCGAGCUAGAGUAGGGCAGAGGGUGGUGGAAUUUCCUGUGUAGCGGUGAAAUGCGUAGAUAUAGGAAGGAACACCAGUGGCGAAGGCGACCACCUGGGCUCAUACUGACACUGAGGUGCGAAAGCGUGGGGAGCAAACAGG